rnacentral:rRNA from 1 species
GACGAAGGGGGCUAGCGUUGUUCGGAAUUACUGGGCGUAAAGCGAGUGUAGGUGGUUGUCCAAGUUGGAUGUGAAAGCCUUGAGCUCAACUCAAGAAAUGCAUUCAGGACUGGGCGGCUAGAGGACCGGAGAGGAUAGUGGAAUUCCCAGUGUAGUGGUGAAAUACGUAGAGAUUGGGAAGAACACCAGUGGCGAAGGCGGCUAUCCGGACGGUUUCUGACACUAAGACUCGAAAGCGUGGGGAGCAAACAGG